GACGAACGCUGGCGGCGUGCUUAACACAUGCAAGUCGAACGGAAAGGCCCCCACCUUGGUGGGGGUGCUCGAGUGGCGAACGGGCGAGUAACACGUGGGUGAUCUGCCCUGUACUUCGGGAUAAGCUUGGGAAACUGGGUCUAAUACCGGAUAGGACCAUGGUUUAGUGUCUCAUGGUGGAAAAAUUAUUGUUUUGGUGCAGGAUGAGCUCGCGGCCUAUCAGCUUGUUGGUGGGGUAAUGGCCUACCAAGGCGUCGACGGGUAGCCGGCCUGAGAGGGUGGACGGCCACAUUGGGACUGAGAUACGGCCCAGACUCCUACGGGAGGCAGCAGUGGGGAAUAUUGCACAAUGGGCGCAAGCCUGAUGCAGCGACGCCGCGUGGGGGAUGACGGCCUUCGGGUUGUAAACUCCUUUCGUUAGGGACGAAGCCAUACUUUUUGGGUGUGGGACGG
rnacentral:rRNA from 1 species